GCCCACACAAAUUUCUCUAACAAUGUUUCGAAGUUCGUAUUAUUCACAGGACUCAUUGUUCUUCCUAACAAAUACAGUCAUGAUAAUACUUUUUUAUAUGAAUUUGAUUAGAGUCAAUUACAGCAGACAUCCACAAUGAAUCAGAGUCGAGUCAUUUGCAGCUGCUGACUUGAGUCGAGUAAUGUUUCGUAUUGGACUCGAGUCGCAGAAAAUAGUCAUUCGAGUCCAAGUCAAUGACUCGAUUCCUUCCAACACUGCCUGUUGUGCUCUUGCAUUAAAUCACAUACCCAUAACCAGAACCGCACAGUUUUUAAUCCAGCCCCCCUCGACGAACUGACGUCCGUGUUGACAAAAACAUUGCGAUCUUAAGCUCACUAAUGCAUGGCAGUCGUUGCAUGGUCCAGUUUUCCUCAGACUCAGUUCCAAUUAAAGUAAAGUAAAGUAAAGUCAAGUGUCACUAUACAGUAGUAGUCACUGACAACAGCAAUAUUAAUA